rnacentral:tRNA from 1 species
GCCUUUGUGGGGCAGUGGUCAGCACACUCGACGCGUAACCGAAAGGUCCGUGGUUCGAUUCCCGGCGAAGCCG